CCGCCAGACCGCGGGCCCAAGCCCCGCCCUCCUCGUGCCCUGGUCUUCAGCAGGCUCAACUCUCCACCUCAGCACGCGCCGCCACCCGCGGCCGCCUCGGCGCCAGCCCUGGGGUGGCGCCUGAGGGUACUGGGGUCCCGCGGCGCUGCCGGCUCCGCCUCGCUCGCGGCCCGCCGCCGCCUGCCGCGUGAGGUUGCCAGUAGGAGCCCACCGCGCUCAGAGGCCAGACUUGUGCGCAUCUCCGGGUGCCCGCGCGCCGUGCACCUCAGGGACCCCCACUGUUGGAGGGGGGACACGGGGGUUAAUUAUCCCCGGACAUUCCUAGUGUACAGCAUGAUCCGCGCGAGGGAAGUGCGGCCCGGGACCCCUCGGGGACAGGGUGCCUAAUCCCCUUCUUGAAGGGACAGAGACUCCGGUCAGCCCCCGCGUGCCAGAUCUUCGGAGGAGUCUCUAUGCUGACGAGCGUGUUAGCAGUCGGGAUGACUGAUGGAGCCGGGGCCCGGCACCCUUCGCGGCGCCAGGCCGAGGGGAGGCCGGACGUUGGCUUCCCUUUUCACCCCUGAGGAAGUCGGGGCUUUAACCCCGUGCACUGCCAACCCGAGGACCAAAGGAGGGCCACCCAGGUGGGCCUGGCUGCCACUUCCCGGUCUGGUGGCGCCGAAAUGAUGUCAUCUCCACUAGUCUCUACUUCGCAACUUAAGAUCGUCCUUUGAUUAUUGACCAAAACUGAGGAAACUGAGGCCGAGGGAGGGGGCCCGCUUGCCCAGUGAAGUUUCUCCUGAGAGGCGCCAGAGGAGCUGCCUGGAAACGAGGUGCAUGCCUUUGAAUCUGGACCAGGCCAUGUGACUUCCCUUUACCAACAGAAUGAGGUGGAAGCGACCAGGUGCCAUUUCCAAGCUCAGGCUUCCUGACACCUUGCAUGUCUCCUUUUGUACUCCGUGCUUCUGCCAUUGCCAUGAUCAAGACACCACCCAUGUUGGCCCGGUGGUCCCGAGAGGAAGAAAAGAGACUCAUGAAGAGCCAGAUUGCCUCAGCAAAGGUCCACCAAAACCAUCCCCCAGCUGAACUCAGAUGGGAGAGAGAGACAGAGUGUGAGCAGGAGAGGGGCAGAGAGAGAGAAGGAGACACAGAAUCUGAAGGAGGCUCCAGGCUCUGAGCUGUCAGCACAGAGCCCAACGAGGGGCUCGAACUCACAAACCGCGAGAUCAUGACCUGUGCCGAAGUAGGACGCCUAACCGACUGAGCCACCCAGGUGCCCCAUUAUCAUUUUAAUAUACUUCUGAAUUUUAUUUGCUAUUGCCUUAUUUAGGAUUUUAAAAAAUCUGUGGGCAAGCAUGCUGUAUUGUGACACUUCCAUUAGGCUUGGGACUCAGGGAUAUGCUGGGUUUGUACAAAGGGUUGGGAAGAUUUCCAUAUUUAUCUUUGGUCUGGAACUGUUUAAAUAGCAUGGGAAUUAUUUGUUUCUCAAAGGUUUAAAGAAAUUUGCUCAUAAAACAGUGUGAGCUCUUGACCUUAUUUGGUAAUGGUUCCUUAAUAAUUGUGUUGUCUCUUUCCAUAGUUUUUUAUUUUCUUUCUUCAGUUAACUUUGUGAACUUAUAUUUUCUUACAAAAUUAUCAAUUUCUCCCAGUUUUAAAGAUAUUUAGCAUAGAUAAAUACAUAUCACACAUACAUAGCAUAGCAUAAUGUCCUCUUAUAACUGCAAAAUCUCGUAAGUAUCUGGUUCUGUCACCCUUCCAAACUUUAAUGCCACAUUUUCUGUUUUCCCUUUUUUAUCUUGAUUACUUUUUCCUGAAGUAUGUAUAAUUUACUGGACUUUUGGAAGAAACCGCUCUGGGUUUUAUUAAUCCCUCUAUUGGGUUCUUGUUCCUGAAUGUGUUCAGUUUUAUUUUAAUCUUUAUUGCUUUCUUCUUCUUAUUUUUCACAUUUAUUUUGCUGCUUUUUUUCCCUGACUUCUUGAGUUAAAUGCUUAGAUGGCUAAUUUUUAUUGUUUCUUUUUAAAAUAUAUAAUUAAAUUUUCUCUGAGGACAACAUAAUUAACUGUAAUUUUUAAUAUAUAUUUUCAUUUUUCUUAUUUCCUUAUAUGGAAUAUACCUUAUUUCUAAUUUUUUUUCUAUUCAAAAUUUCUAAUUUGAAAUUAUUAAAUCCUUUGUGGGGUGUCUGGGUGGCUCAGUUAGUUGAAUGUCAGACUCUUGAUUUCGGCUCAGGUCAUGAUCUCAUGGUCUUGGAAUCGAGCCCUGCACUGGGCUCCACACUGGGCAUGGAGCCUGCUUAAGAUUCUCUUUCUCUCUUCUUCUCUCUUCAAUAAAUAAAUAAAUAAAUAAAUAAAUAAAUAAAUAAAUAGUAAUAGGGACUCCCUAUCAAUUUGGCUGAAGCCCCCAAACCUGGGAAUGAAACCCCACAUUCUGAAGUGAAAAGCCAGACCAUCUCUAUAGGUCUUGCUAAGGAAGAAUCUGGAAACCGAGUUUUACCAUCUUAACCCCAUAUCCACCUCAAGUUUAUAAAAGGGUUGACAGUGAAGAGUCUGUGGGAGAACAUUUCUCUGAGAAAGUUGUCGGAGGCCUUUACCCUUCCCUCACCUGGGAGAGGCUGGGAAUGCUUCCCUCUCAUCUCCAUAUGUGUCUCGUAGAGUCUGGGAACAGUGGUCUAGGAAUGACUGACUACUGGAAAAUUCAAAGGCCUGAGGCCAAGGCCAUCCACUUGAGGGGGCAGAAAGAAAGAAGACUGCAUAGAGAAUGAGUCACACUUCUGCCAAGGGAUCAAAGUGGGUCUCAUGGACCUACAGUGGGUCACACGGGGAGGCUGGACCUGGGCCAUCUUGAUAAGGACUUUGCCCCAGAAGUCCACUUGGAGGGUUGAUGAACCCAACAAAGAUAAUGUGAGGGAAAGGGACCUCUAGACAGCCCAGGGAUCGGGGUUGGGGUCAGUUGGAAUUAGUUGGAUAUCUAAGUUACCAGACAGAGACAAGUUUUAUCUGUCCUGGAGAUUAUAACUGCAGGGUCCCAGGUGGGGAGAUUUCUGUGAAACCCACAAAAGUGCCAGGGAACACAAACACUAACCCUAGCAGCACCAGCCACAUCAGAUUGUGCAAUUGCCCCUGACACUGGCUGCCU